rnacentral:rRNA from 1 species
CUGAGAGUAACUACCCAUAGAAUUAUUGGACGGCAUCGUUUGAUAAUUAAACUACGGUGUUGGGAUAGAUGUGCGUCUGAUUAGCUAGUUGGUGAGGUAACUGCUCACCAAGGCGACGAUCAGUAGGGGGCGUGAGAGCGUGGCCCCCCACACGGGUACUGAGACACGGACCCGACUCCUACGGGAGGCAGCAGUAAGGAAUAUUGGUCAAUGGAGGGAACUCUGAACCAGCCAUGCCGCGUGAAGGAUGACGGCCCUCUGGGUUGUAAACUUCUUUUGGAUGGGGCGAAAAAACGGGAUUUAUCCUGGACUGACGGUACCAUCAGAAUAAGCACCGGCUAACUCCGUG